GGAUGUGAAGGCGAUCUGGCUACGACAUCUGUCACUCCAUUGAUUGCCAGGGUUGAUGCGGCUGAUCUGGCUGGCUAGGUGGGUGUCCCCUUCCUCCCUUACUGAUCCAUGUGUGUCCCUCCCAAAGCUGCGCACUUGGUUGAAGAGGACGACCACCCCCAAUAGAGGAGUACCAUUCCUCGGUCAAGGGUAUACGAGUAGCUGCGCUCCCCUGCUAGAACCUCCAAGCAAGCUCUGAGGACAGUGAUAGGCAGUGACCAAGGAUUGUCUUUCUCUUGGAAAGGGUUGCAA
rnacentral:snRNA from 1 species